rnacentral:rRNA from 1 species
UACGGAGGGUGCGAGCGUUGUCCGGAAUCACUGGGCGUAAAGGGCGCGUAGGUGGCGCGGGCAGUCAACGGUGAAAGUUCGGGGCUCAACCCUGAAUCGGCCGUCGAUACUCCCGGGCUGGAGCACUGUAGAGGCUAAUGGAAUUCCGGGUGUAGCGGUGGAAUGCGUAGAGAUCCGGAAGAACACCGGUGGCGAAGGCGGUUAGCUGGGCAGUUGCUGACACUGAGGCGCGACAGCGUGGGGAGCAACAGG